rnacentral:sRNA from 1 species
AUUAACAUCCAUUAACACUAGUUUACAUGAAUACCUAUGAACUCUGUCAGGUUUUUUUGUACUAUAGCCAAGUAGAUUAGUAAACACUAAUCUCAUGACAUUUCUCCUUUCAACCGAAACUGUUUCUGCAGAUUCGUUGUUCAACGCAAUGACUACCCCAAUCAUUGCGUUUUUUUUGUCUUUAAUAAUA